CAACAGGCAGGACACAGUGCCACCUGCAGAGCUGACUUCAGACAGAGCACAGAAGGCACCUGAAGAAUAUGGGAUAGGGCAUAGUGGAUAUAGCUCAUCUUGCUGGAGGAUCAUUAGACGAGGUAAUUGGAGGUAGAAGGUAAAGGAGUUUACACUGGACAGCAGGGAUUUAUCUGAGCAUCAGCUUAGUAAGGGCUGUGCAGAAUAUCUCAUCGUGCCAACCUAGCUUCUCCCCAUCUCACUUUUGAGCAUUGCACAGACUUUUUGACGUGCUGUAUGUUCUGACAUGGUGGGACUCAAUAGUCAGGAACCAGAGGAGACAGACCAUACCCUCUCAACCCACUUGGAGGGUUUGGUUUGGAAAUGUCUUGGGCUGAUGCAAGUGAACAACUCUGAACCACUCAGGAAAUAAUUUUUGCUACUGUAUCUUCAGUUAGUGAGCAGGUGUAGCUUGUGAGCUCUCAGGGCCAAAUCAGAUAGUAUUCAGGAAAAGCAGCAUUACCUUUAGGUGAGGGUGGAGCCACUUGUGUGAUUAAGUUCUGAAGUGUGGUCUAAACUACUUAAAAGUAAACUCCAGGUUGAAUGAAUAUAGCUUCACAUAAAAAAUGAAGAUGUGUAAUUGCUUACAACACAACAGCCUUGAAAAAUACAGCUCUCUAGGUGUUAGAUUCUUAUGUCCUAUUGGGGAAAGAAAUUGUGUGAUUCCUAGUGAUUUGAUCUGGGAGCAUCCAAAGGUACAAAAGGAGUAAUUUCAGAGAAUUUCAAUUGGAGUCACAGAAUCACUGAUUCUGUGAAUACUUCACUGUUCCAUUUCCAUUUUCUGUUUAGAAGGAAAGAGAAAACUGGGAGUCAUGAGACUUCUAUUUCUGCUUGGCUCUGCAGUGUAUGCUCCCUAGCUGUCCCACCUUCAACAUUAGAGUAAGGCCUUCAGUUUUGGACAGUCUCUCUCCUGUUUAUUUGAUUUAUUAGCUACAAUUCCAAUUGUAUUGUGCUAUAUUGCGUUCUCUCACAUUGUGCUAUAAUAUCUAGUAAAUUAAUUUUCUCCCUUAGCUCGUUGCCGCUGUUUUGUUUUUAGACCCAUCACAGGGCGUGGGUCCAUGGGUCCCCCUGUGCCAUUUAGUCAAGGAUCCAGGUCAAACCAGGCCAGAGCUGUGACCAUGCUGUAUCUGAAUAACCGUGUAAAAGGCACUAAGUGCACUGAGUAGGACUUCUGCUCCUCCAUACGUUUUUGUUGAGUUUGUAAUAUAGAGUCGGUUGUAUUGAAACGGAGCUUAAUUGUAACUUUCCUAAAAUCAGAAUGCUGUAAUGUCAUAAUUCCAAAGAUGCUCACUGUAUGUUUCCCAUUUACAAGUAUUUAUAGCUGACCUACUGUUACUGAAUCCUCGCUAAUUUUAUAUUUACUUUUAUUCUUUAAAGGAUACAACUGUUAAGUGAGAAGAUGAAAAAUUCAUUGUACUCUGCAGAGAAGAAAGACAAUUUUCUCUGUAUGAAUGGCAGAACAGCCCCGUGGCAGGAUUCGUAGGAGUCUAAUGGGAGAAGUGAGAGGAAGCACCAUGAAUUUCCACCCAACACUGUAGUGUCAAAGACUUUACUGAAGACCACAUCACUGAAGACCAGCCUCACCUUCAUCCACUAAGCAGGUCACCCUGUCAUAGAACGAAAUCAGGUUUGUCAGACAGGAUCUUCCAUUCAUAGACCCAUACUGUCUGGGCCUGAUCCCAUGGCUGACCUGUAAUUGAUGCACGGUGGCUCCCAAGAUUAUCCGCUUCACGACCUUCCGUGGCACCAAGGUGAGACUGAUAGGUCUGUAGCUACCAGAAUCAUCUUCCUGGCCCUUUCUGAAGAUGGUCUUCAUAUCUGCCAGUCUCCAGUCCACCCGGACAUUCCCAGUUAGCCAGGACUGUUGAAGGAUGAUGGAAUGUGGUUUGGCAACCACAUCCGCCAACUCCCUUAGCACUCCAGGAUGCAAUCCAUCUGGCACCAAGGAGUUGUGAGGGUCCACGUUUCAGAGCAGGGUCCAGCUUUUUCCUUUUCCUUGAACUAGGUCAUUAUUGGAAAGAUUGUUGAUGGUUUUUUUUUUGUUUUUUUUUUUUUUUUUUAAAGGAUGAUAUUUCAUUUCUGUUCAGUGUGUAAACUACUAGUUUACUAGUGAAAAGAUAGAACACAUUAUUUGGAAUUGAUAGCUAAUUUAUUUUAUUAUGAUUACCUGGAAUAACUUUUGCCACAAGAUUUUAAUUUACAUUUCUCUAAUACUACUGAUUUAAAGGUGACUUUAACAUUCCUCAGCAGUAGCUCUUUGUGAACAAUAAAUCUGUUUUCUCUAACAGCAGUGAAUGCUUUGUCUUCGACAUGUUUUAGUAACUAGAUUGAGAAGUGAUUUGUAAUCAUCCUUGUUCCACUUCCACUGAAUUUUCUAAGAUGCAAUCUAUUAAAUUAAAAAAAAAGUAUUUUAUGUCAAGAAACAGCUUCUUCGGGGAUCUAAGAUUAAAGUGGGUUCCACUAUCAAUCUUGGUACACACAGUGCAUAAAAUAACUAAUACAGGAAGAAAAAUGAAAGAAAAAAACUUUUAACCUGUAGUACAUCAAAUUAUUCAGACUAUGUACAUAUUAAGUGAAAGUCUAGAAAUCAUGAUUUAUGUGAUUGACACUGCCUAGAUCUAGACAUAGGAGUAAUGAAAAAACAUUACUGAAAACAAAUGAUGAGCCAUCUGAUGAACUAGCAAGACAAUUAGAUGACAUUUCAGUUUUCAACAGUCUUGACCCCAGAAUAGGACAGCUAUGUGAGAAAGUCUCUGUACUGUGCAGAUUAAAGGCAUAUAUUUGUGCAACCAAGGUGUUUCAAAGGUAGCAUUAACCCAUUUCAGGCUAAGUCCAAGCUCAAGGCUGGGCAAGCUGUAGUCAAGGUCUCUACCUGCUGCAGCUUAACAGUCACAUUAAGGUUGAAUCAGUCUUCACACAAUGAAGCAAUAUAAUACAUUCUCUGAAUUCUGUAUGGAUGGGGCCUUAUAAAUAUUUCUAUAAUUAGUCAAAGCACAGUAAUUACUUUUUCCUGCAGGUUAAAUACUGCUGAUUAGCUGCUUACUUUUUAGAAAGUUCUCUAUCCUUAGUAUUUACACGAGUCUUUUUCUAACCUGCUGUAAGCCCGUUAGUCCAAACCAGAUAAGGAGUCUAAUUUUAAAGCUGGAGAUCCAUGCCUCUCCUGUACUCGAGAACUCCACGUCAGGAUGGAGUACUCCAGAUGUGGUCUCACCAAUGCAGAGCAGAGGGGCAGCAUCAUCUACCUUGACCUGCUGACCACAAUUCUUUUGGUGCAGUCCAGGACAGGAGUGGCUUUCUGGGCUGUGAGGGUACACAUUGCUAGUUCAUGUCCACUUGCUAUUUACUAGUAUCCCUAUGCCCAUUGUGGCAGGGCUGUUCUCUGUCCUUACAUCCUUCAACUUGUGCUGAUACAAGGGGUUGGUUGCCAUUACCCAUGUGCAGUACCUUGCACUUGGAUUUUUUGAACCUCAUGAGCUUCUCCUUGUCCCACUGACAAAGGCUAAGUCUCUCUGAGUGGCAUCCCAUCCCUCAGUCAUCUUGACCUUAUCACAUAGCUUGUUGUCAUCCACAAACUUGAUGAGAAUGUACUUGAUCCCACUGUCAAUGUCACUGUAUUAAGAGGUUUCUGAAGACAAGCUUUCCAAGCUUUCAUAUGAUAAACAUUUUUUCUGACUUCACCAAAAUGAAGCAAUUAACUACUGUGAUAAGACACAGUAUCACAGACUGAUUUAACUCUUCAUAGGACUGCACCCAAGCAAGGGUUACGAUAAGAAGAAAAGCUUGUGGUUUUUAAAUAUCAGUCUCUCAACAUUCACAGAGAUAAACCAUAGGAUGUGCACAACUGUUUGGAUAAGAAUGUCAUACAUGUAUGAAAGAUCUUUCUGUCUGCUGUGACAAGCCAUCACUCCCACAAUAACAAAGUUUCCAUAAAGAAUUCUUUUGCCUUUUUUUUUUUUUUUCUUUGUCUUCCCCCCUCCCCCCCUUUUAUUUUUAUUGACGCUGAAGAAAAAAAAGAUAGGAUUAGCUCUGGGUGUAUAUAAUGUUCUUGCAGGCAAGGGUUGAGAUAGGAAAUUGGCGUUGAAUAACUGUGCAGUUGAAACUGUGUAUAAAAGCAAAAAAAUCCUACUGUUUCACUGACGCUCCCAACAAAUUGACCUCGACAGUGAGAGUUAUCACACUGCGAGUCUAGACAAAUCCAGACAUUCAGAUUUGUGUUAAAAAUUUAGUACUUCCUUCCCACCACAUUGUUUUUUGCAGGGAUAAUUAUAAGUGGCUGUACUUAAGAUUUAUAGCACACAUUGAGUAGAUGCUCGACAGAUUAGUAGUAAAGAAUUUCAAGGUAUUUUCUUACUUCCGUAUAAGUUUUUUUUUAAAUUGAUUGCGAAGAUGAGAUUUACAUAAUUUAAGGAGUUCAGAUAAAAUCAUAGAACCUUCAGGGUUGGAAAAGACCUCCAAAAUCAUCUAGUCCAAAUGUGCACCUACCAUCAAUAUUGCCUUCAGAACCACGUUCCUUAGUACCACAGCUACAUGUUUCUUGAAUGCUUCCAGGGAUGACUCCAGAUGACUCUACCUCCUUCCUCAACAGCCUGCUCCAGUGCCUGACCACUCUUUUGGAGAAGUUU